rnacentral:misc_RNA from 1 species
AGUGAUAACUUUCAAAUUCAGGGAAACCACGGAAUUAAAAAAAAAARGGUAAUCCUGASCCAAAUCCUGUUUUAUCAAAAGAARGGUUCAUAAAMCGAAAAAGGGAUDGGUCCAGARMCUCGAUGGAAGCUGUUYUAGCAAAUGGGGCWUUGGUAAAGGAAUYUUUMCMCCGAAMCAUCARAARGGGUCAAGGAUAACCCUAUCCGUUGAAUACUAUAUUAUAAUUAUAAUCAAUUUUUUAAUGAUAGCCCGAAUCUCUAUAUGKAUUUUUUUAUUAAAAAUAUAAAAAUUGGCGUGAAUUCAUUCGACAUUGAAAAAAAAAUAUAAUUGUUAUUCAUCAAAUUAUUCACUCCAUAGUCCGAUAAACCUUUUCAAGAACUGAUCAAUCGGACAAGAAUAAAGAUAGAGUCCCCUUCUACAUGUCAAUACCGACAACAAUGAAAUUUAUAGUAAGAGGAAAAUCCGUUGACUUUAAAAAUCGUGAGGGUUCAAGUCCCUCUAUCCCCAAACAAGCUUAUUUUACUCCCAAAACCUUUAACCUACCCUCUAUCUUUCGGUUAAAAAUUUAUUUCUUUUUCUGAUUCUUUAACAAACGCAGGUGAACGUAAAUGACUUUCUCUUGUGAUAUAGAAUACACAUACAAAUUGAGCAAAGAAUCCCCAUUUAAAUGAUUCAAAUCAAUAGCUUUACGAAGACUGAAACUUAAAUUUUGUUUUGAAGAUUAAAGAAAUUAAAGUACUUGUAUAGAAAUUUGUAAUCUACCUUUUGUCUUUAAUUGACAUAGACCCCAGUCAUCGACUAAAAUAAUAAAAUGAGUAUGGAUUAC